rnacentral:lncRNA from 1 species
AAAAAGCCAAGUCCCAGGCCGUGGCUUGCUCUCUCGACCCCAAGAACGGCCUCCAGCCACCACCCCACCCACCUCCUCCCUCUUCCCACCACUUCCCUGACGACGACUUCGACCCCUCCGCCAUGGCCCUUGACGAUGAUCUCAAGCCCGACGAUGCCGACGCCGCGGCCUGUAGCCGACCUUCAGCUGGUGGUGUCACCGCCAAUUUGUCCCGUAAAAAGGCCACGCCUCCUCAGCCCGCCAAGAAGCA